rnacentral:lncRNA from 1 species
CUGACUGCAGUCCUCAUGCUUGGAGUCAAACACUUUAACCACUGCACACGUUUAUGUAAUAGGAUUGACAUAUGAGAAUCAGAGAAAUGAAUGAAAGAUUAGAGGUAAGCAAGAGCCAAGUAAUAGUGGAGGUGAGAGGGGGAAGUGGGCGUGACUGUGUGAGAGGGGGAAGUGGGCGUGACUGUGUGAGAGGGGGAAGUGGGCGUGGCCGCGUGAGAGGGGGGAAGUGGGCGUGGCCGCGUGAGAGGGGGAAGUGGGCGUGGCUGUGUGAGAGGGGGAAGUGGGCGUGACUACAAAAGGACAGCAAUGGAUUCCAGGCUCAAAGCAAACAAUUUGUAUUUAGCUGUGGCAGAACUGAUAACCUAGUUGUGAUAUUGUGUAACAGCACUGCUAAAGCUGGGUAAGAAGAUUGAAAGAUCUCUAUUUUUUUUUUAAUUGCUGCAUGAGAACAUUCAAAAAGCUUAACAAAAGUGGGAGAAAGUGCUUGCUGCCAAGCUUGAUGACCUAAAUUGAAUACCUGGAACCUACACGACAGAAAGAGAGAGCUGACUGCUGAAAGAUGUCCUCAGAUCUUCACAUGUGCACAGUGGCACCUAUCCAACCAUGCACAUAGUAUAUUAAAAAUUAUUUUUU